UACGUAGGUGGCAAGCGUUGUCCGGAAUUAUUGGGCGUAAAGCGCGCGCAGGCGGCCUCUUAAGUCUGAUGUGAAAGCCCCCCGGCUCAACCGGGGAGGGCCAUUGGAAACUGGGAGGCUUGAGUAUAGGAGAGAAGAGUGGAAUUCCACGUGUAGCGGUGAAAUGCGUAGAGAUGUGGAGGAGCACCAGUGGCGAAGGCGACUCUUUGGCCUAUAACUGACGCUGAGGCGCGAAAAGCGUGGGGGAGCAAACAGG
rnacentral:rRNA from 1 species